GUGGGGAAUUUUGGACAAUGGGCGCAAGCCUGAUCCAGCAAUGCCGCGUGCAGGAAGAAGGCCUUCGGGUUGUAAACUGCUUUUGUCAGGGAAGAAAUCUUCUGAGCUAAUACCCCGGGAGGAUGACGGUACCUGAAGAAUAAGCACCGGCUAACUACGUGCCAGCAGCCGCGGUAAUACGUAGGGUGCGAGCGUUAAUCGGAAUUACUGGGCGUAAAGCGUGCGCAGGCGGCUUUGCAAGACAGAUGUGAAAUCCCCGGGCUCAACCUGGGAACUGCAUUUGUGACUGCAAGGCUAGAGUACGGCAGAGGGGGAUGGAAUUCCGCGUGUAGCAGUGAAAUGCGUAGAUAUGCGGAGGAACACCAAUGGCGAAGGCAAUCCCCUGGGCCUGUACUGACGCUCAUGCACGAAAGCGUGGGGAGCAAACAGGAUUAGAUACCCGAGUAGUCC
rnacentral:rRNA from 1 species